rnacentral:lncRNA from 1 species
CCUGCCCCAGCCAAGCACAGCAAACUCGGUACGUUCCUCCUUCCUCCCGCCCACAGCCGCGAACACCUUGGAGGCAACCUCGAUUUCUACCUUCGAGAAGGUAAAACGAGAUACCCAACCCCCCGGGACGGUGGAUCAAAAGAGGACCACAGGGAGCCAGUGUACCGAUGCUUUGACAGCUGCAAAUGAACCCCCCGCCUCCCAAAGCGCACAGUCUUCUUCGGGGCUGCAAUGCUCAACUAGAUUUGGAACCACGACUGACAAGCUCUUUGGGCCUUUACAGAUCUCAGUCCGCGAGAAAAGGCGCACAUCACUUUCUGGCAGGGGUUUCAAGUAACAGUUUUAUUUAUGAGGAGUGA